UCAUCUUGAGUCCAUCAAGCUUGGUGUA
rnacentral:piRNA from 1 species